CCGAGUUGACAAACUCCCACCAUUGACAUACCUCAGUUUCGCGGAACGUACCCAGCCGCCGUCCGACCUCCGCCGCGGGGAUCGGGAGCCUAGCCCGACCCAGGCGCCGCCGGAGGUACCAGACUCUUGGUCUUCAGUAUUCUUCUGAGUGCACUGCUAAAAUAAGUCA
rnacentral:misc_RNA from 1 species